rnacentral:rRNA from 1 species
GUUUCCGUAGGUGAACCUGCUGCUGGAUCAUUACAUGUUACCGUGAUGGUGAAAAUAUUUGAAAAGCUCGUGUACUUGUCUGGUGUACAUGGGCCUGCCGCCAUUACUUGCUUCCUGUAAUGGAUGGGAACGGCUAACGUUGGCGUCUAAGUGUUGCUGAGCAGUUGUCUUCGUCCGUGGCUGUGAUGAGGCAGCAUGUUAGGACCCAUGCUCUUGUCUCGUGAGCGUGUGGUUUAAGACUUAAUGAGCCCUUUGCUUCGGGGCCGCCAACAUUUUUCUUUUUUCAAUACAUUUUUUUCAAAAAACAAAAUUCUAGUCUUAUCGGUGGAUCACUCGGCUCGUAGGUCGAUGAAGAACGCAGCUAACUGCGAUAAUUAGUGUGAACUGCAGAAACCAUGAACACAAAACUUUCGAAUGCACAUUGCGCCAUUGGAAUCUUGUCCUUUGGCACGCCUGGUUCAGGGUCGUAAACCAAAUACGCAUGCUUCUUGCGUUUGUAACUGCGAAUUCAUUUGUUACAAGGCAGUGUCUCUUUGCAAUGUGACAAUUGUUUUCGUAUUUUGUACGAGUGAGUUCAGUUGGUGUUGAAAGGCGUGGGUGUUCAGAAUCAGUUACGUUGUUUGUUCAACCGAUUCACACCGUGUUUCCUGGAUGGCUUUUGCUUGUCUUCUGCUUAAGUCAUCUGCACGUCUCUUAAGGCCGGUUGUCUCCGCAUCUUGCUACUUGAUGCAAUUUUUCAAUUUUUCGACCUGAACUCAGACGUGAUUACCCGCUGAACUUAAGCAUAU